rnacentral:rRNA from 1 species
UACGUAGGGGGCAAGCGUUGUCCGGAAUCAUUGGGCGUAAAGAGCGUGUAGGCGGCUCGGUAAGUCCGCUGUGAAAGUCCAGGGCUCAACCCUGGAAUGCCGGUGGAAACUGUCGAGCUAGAGUCCGGAAGAGGCGAGUGGAAUUCCUGGUGUAGCGGUGAAAUGCGCAGAUAUCAGGAGGAACACUGGUGGCGAAGGCGGUUCUCUGGGCCUUACCUGACGCUGAGGAGCGAAAGCGUGGGGAGCAAACAGG